GGGAGAGACACGCAAGCUGCAAAGGGAAGCAGAGUCAAAUUAAAGCCUCCCAACCACGGCUCGUGGUGCUGCGGAUGGGGCGUCCCUCCCUCCCUCCCUCGGCUUGAUGAAGGUGGGUGUGAGAUCCCACAGGACUGUCUGGAAGAGAGCCCGUGGAAGUCACUGUAUUUUGCAGAAGCUGGAGGCGAAGCAGAAGGUUUCUUCCUAAGCUGAGUGAAUCUGGACACUUUCUAACUUGGAACAAAUCACACAGACAAAAUGAAGAUAAAAUGCCCCCAUCCAGGUUGCAGCCUGACACUUCUGCCUCUUUUCCCUCUGGGUAUAUCUUACUGGGUCUUUGCAGGUCAUGGCUGGACUGUUGUGGUGGGGUAACUGAAACAAACCGAAGAGACUGAUGGAAAAAAAAUCAAAAAGCAAGGGCGGAAUUUCAAAGCCUGGAUCAUAGAAGAAGGAAUGCUGCAUGACAAAUUCAUCAUAUCUGGUUUUAUGUGGCGGUCCUUGAUCCACUUGGACUUGAACUUUGUACAAGGAUGGGUCAAUUUGGCACCCAGGAGCUGGGGCCAUUCCACAGCCCUUUGUACAUGGGUCCUGUCGGGGAAGAACUGGUUUCUGGGGAGUGAUCUGAUUCCCAGGCUCAGAGGGUAACUGCUGCUAUUUUCCCAUGACUGCAAUGAAGAAUUGUGGAAUGCAUUGCCUCUCUCUUUGAGUAUUUUCAUUCCCAAGUUCUACAUGAGGUGAUCCCUAAAAGCAUACUGCACAAGUGAAGGGAUUGACAUCACAAGGCUUUCCACACUUCUGGUGCCAGAUGUCCACAUAGCUGCAAUCCACCUAUUCUUCUUCCUGGUACACAGACAAAAUGGAAUAUCAGAAUCGAUCCUCUCUAAGAACACAGUAUUUGACAUGAGUGAUUUUCCUGAAGGUACCUUAAAGUUUUCCUUCUAUCCUAUAGGACAUCCUAUGUGACACGUCCACCAGCAUCAGUGGUGUACAUAAUCCAACUCUAAUCCUAGUGUGAGCAAGAUGGACUUUAUGACAAGUGCCUUGCGUCUUCUCUAGUGUUUGUGAGAGACUUGCCUGCCUGUAUAUUGUAACACGACUCUUGAUGGAUUGUCUAUCUAGGGACUCAACAAUUUGCCUUAGGUAAUGGUCCAUUGAUGGAAACUUUCUUAAUCAUAGAUGAAGUUCCUAAAAAAAAUGGUGCCCUAAUUUAAUCAACUAGAAUAAUCAUUGUUACAUUUGUUACUUUUUUAGCAAGUGUUUAUUGUGGCGAGACUAUGUACUGGUUUGGCACAGUUUGGGUCACUGGAACUAGAACUCUGAUCACUCAAAACCAAUAGAUAAAUUAUACAGAGCAGAGUCCUAGUCCCAAACCAAGAUCAGUUCUUCUUCCAAGUCACUAAAGCUUUUGCACUGUUGGAAAGUAGAAACUUUUGUUAAAUUCUACACUGUGUUUCUCACCAUUUCCAUGUUGACUGGUGGCUCAUGUUCUAGUCAAGUACAUUGUGUUAAGUCUUGAGAAUCUUAUUAUGCGAUGUCAAGGGUUUGUUCUUAAUAACUUUAAUGGGAUUAUUUUUCUGAUUAGGAACUCAAGCAUGUCUAUGGUAAAAUAUUUAUAAAUGUAGAAGAAAGACAUUAGCAACAACAACAGCAGCAAUAAAAUUACAUCUUUUACCC
rnacentral:lncRNA from 1 species